AAUUACGGAUAUUCACGAAUUUAUUCAACCUUUAAGAUCACACCCCAACCCAUAUUCAUCAAUAUAAGACAUGCACCCAAUAUGAUAUACGGCAUCCAGAAAAGAGAGAAAAAAACGCCAAAGAAAGAUCACAACUAACUAUAUUUUUUAACUUACUAACCAAUGCAGAUAGCAUGCAAUUAACCAUGAAACAACAUGCUAAUACUCCCAAACGAGUAUUUCAAAAUGCAACAACAACAACAA
rnacentral:lncRNA from 1 species